CUUUACUCGGGGAUAGCCUUUCGAAAGAAAGAUUAAUACCCGAUAGCAUAAUGAUUCCGCAUGGUUUCAUUAUUAAAGGAUUCCGGUAAAGGAUGGGGAUGCGUUCCAUUAGGUUGUUGGUGGGGUAACGGCCCACCAAGCCUUCGAUGGAUAGGGGUUCUGAGAGGAAGGUCCCCCACAUUGGAACUGAGACACGGUCCAAACUCCUACGGGAGGCAGCAUG
rnacentral:rRNA from 1 species